AACACAAAACAUUCUUCACUUCAGUACGUGCACGUGCAAAAGUCAACACCCCAUCGCAGGAUCUUUAGACAGUAAAUUUGAGUAAUCUUAAAAGGAAAUGGCGGAAAAGGUUAGGCAGUAUGGACUCGACGAUGUGAAACGUUUGAAGACAACAGGAGACUACCUCAAACAACUAUCGAAAUCGGGACUAUGG